UAUUUCCCGAUUUUGAGAGGAGUUAAUGAUUUAUUUUAGUUACUGUUUUAUUAGUAUUAAUAAUAUGUUAUUGGUAGUGAAAUGUUAUUCGUCUUUGUUGGUAUCUGGUUUUCCAAGAAAUGAAUUUAAUUCAUGCGUCUUAUUUAGAUUUAUUAUUUUUUUAUUAAGUUUUAAUAUGUCGUUAAGAUUAGGGGGGAUUAGCUCCCUAUUUUAUUAUUAUAAUUUUGUUUAUUUUUUAAUUUUUGUUGAUUUUAUAGUGAUUUUCUAUUUGAUUAUGUUAAAAUUUUAUUUAUCUUUUGUUUGAUUUAUUUGUUGUUUAAUUUUAUAUUGGAAUGUUAUUUUUAAUUUUUUUUGUUUUGUAAUUAUUGUGUAAUUAGUAAAUUUGUUUUUUAUUUUGUGUAUUUAUUUAUUGUUAAUUUCUUUUGAGGAAUUAGGCAAAUAAAGUUGUGUCCGCCUGUUUAACAAAAACAUCUUUUCUUGUUAGUUUUUGAAGUAUGGCCUGCCCACUGAAUUUUUUUGAAGGGCCGCGGUAUUUUGACCGUGCAAAGGUAGCAUAAUCAUUAGUUCUUUAAUUGUGAUCUGGAAUGAAUGGCUUGACGAGAUGCAAGCUGUCUUAGGUUUUGGCGAAAUUUUAGUUGAAUUUGUUUUCUGGGUAAAAAUACUCAGAUGUUUUUAUGGGACGAGAAGACCCUAUAGAGUUUUACACUUGUAUUUAUUGGUUUAGUUGUUUGAUUUUAUUUUUAAUAAGUUUAUAGUGUUUUGUUGGGGUGAUGGGAAGAAUUUGUUUAACUCUUCUUUAUAUGUGUGUACAUUUAUGUAUGUUAUUUGAU
rnacentral:rRNA from 1 species